GUUCGGUUAGCGUAAUGGCAACGCGUCAGUUUCCGGUUCAUUGGAGAAUACUGAAGAUUGCGGGUUCGAGUCCCGUGCUGAACU